rnacentral:rRNA from 1 species
GACGUAGGAUCCGAGCGUUGUCCGGAGUUACUGGGCGUAAAGCGCGCGCAGGCGGACCGAUACGUCGGCGGUGAAAGCCCCCCGCUCAACGGGGGAGGGUCCGUCGAGAUGGUCGGUCUGGAGGCAGGGAGAGGCCAGUGGAAUUCCGGGUGUAGUGGUGAAAUUCGUAGAUAUUCGCAAGAACACCAGUGGCGAAGGCGGCUCACUGGCUCGGUACUGACGCUGAGGUGCGAAAGCGUGGGGAGCAAACAGG